GCCGCUGUAGCUCAGGGGUAGAUGCGCUUCAUUGGUAAUGAAGAGGUCGAGAGUUCAAAUCUCUCCAGCGGCACCA
rnacentral:tRNA from 1 species